rnacentral:rRNA from 1 species
GACGAACGCUGGCGGCGUGCCUAAUACAUGCAAGUCGAACGAGAGCGACCGGUGCUUGCACUGGUCAAUCUAGUGGCGAACGGGUGAGUAACACGUGGGUAACCUGCCCAUCAGAGGGGGAUAACAUCCGGAAACGGAUGCUAAAACCGCAUAGGUCUUCGAACCGCAUGGUUUGAAGAGGAAAAGAGGCGCAAGCUUCUGCUGAUGGAUGGACCCGCGGUGCAUUAGCUAGUUGGUGAGGUAACGGCUCACCAAGGCCGUGAUGCAUAGCCGACCUGAGAGGGUGAUCGGCCACAUUGGGACUGAGACACGGCCCAAACUCCUACGGGAGGCAGCAGUAGGGAAUCUUCCGCAAUGGACGCAAGUCUGACGGAGCAACGCCGCGUGAGUGAAGAAGGUUUUCGGAUCGUAAAACACUGUUGUUAGAGAAGAACAAGUGCUAGAGUAACUGUUAGCGCCUUGACGGUAUCUAACCAGAAAGCCACGGCUAACUACGUG